GACGUAGGAGGCGAGCGUUGUCCGGAGUUACUGGGCGUAAAGCGUGCGCAGGCGGUUGUGCAAGACAGAUGUGAAAUCCCCGGGCUUAACCCGUGGGAAGUGGCAUUUGUGACUGCACGGCUAGAGUGUGUCAGAGGGGGGUAGAAUUCCACGUGUAGCAGUGAAAUGCGUAGAUAUGUGGAGGAAUACCGAUGGCGAAGGCAGCCCCCUGGGAUAACACUGACGCUCAUGCACGAAAGCGUGGGGAGCAAACAGG
rnacentral:rRNA from 1 species